GAUGUCUCCCCCCGCCCCGCCUCCCCCCUGCACCCGUUUGCGGCCGCGCCGCCGCCUCCCUCCCGAGCGGCCGCCGCGUCCCGGGCGCGCGCCGGAGCCUCCUCCGCCGCCGCCGCCGCCGCCGCCGCCGCCGCCGCCGCCGCCGCAGCCCGAGGCGGGAGGGUGCGGGCGCCCCGUGCGCACAGCGCGGCGCUCCUGCUCCCCGGUGGCCGCCCGCGGACCCGCCGCCCUUCCUCGAGAGCAAGCGAGGGCGGGCGAAGCCGGCGCAGACGCCGCCCGGGACGGCGGCCCUUCCCCGCGCGCGCAACGCACUUGUCUGCGGCGGCGGCAGCGACACACGGACGCGGCGGCUGAGCCGGAGCGGGAGCCGCAGCGGGAGCGCGGCGGGGAGCGCGGGGAGCGCGCGGAGCGCCGGCCGGUGUCCCCCGAGACUGGCCUGGGCGCGCCAGGCGGACUCCUGGGGAGCGCACGCUCGGGCCCCGCGGGAAGGCGCCCUCGCCCGCACCCUCACCACGCGGGCCGGCCCCGACGACCGCCGCUCCAGCCUGCAGCCCGGAGCCUGGAGCCCGGAGCCCGGAGCCCGGAGCCCGCGGCGGAUGGUGGGACUCUCCAGCCCGGCGCCGCGGAGCACACUUGUCAUCUACGUCUCAAAUGAAACUACUCUCUGAAGCCUUCAGGACGUCUCUUCCUCAAAGCUUGGAUUUAUCACAUCCAACUCUUUGCUACUGUCCAUGUGAUUCAGACUUCUCUGCUGGCUUGUAAGCUUGUUGAAGAAAAGAUUGAUCUCUGGGCUGGUGAACAUAAUAUCUGUCCCAGUCAGAAAAGGAGAGAGGAAAUUAGCAGAGCGAUUGGUGGAGAAUGAUAUCUGUCAAAAGAAACACUUGGAGAGCACUGAGUUUAGUAAUAGGUGACUGCCGGAAAAAAGGGAACUUUGAAUAUUGUCAAGAUCGGACUGAGAAGCACUCCACGAUGCCAGACUCACCUGUGGAUGUGAAGACCCCGUCUAGGCUGACUCCUCCUACCAUGCCACCUCCCCCCACAACUCAAGGAGCUCCGAGAACGAGUUCAUUUACACCGACGACUUUAACUAAUGGCACGAGCCAUUCACCCACAGCCUUGAAUGGCGCCCCCUCGCCGCCCAAUGGCUUUAGCAAUGGGCCUUCCUCUUCUUCCUCCUCUUCUCUGGCUAAUCAACAGCUGCCCCCAGCCUGUGGCGCCAGGCAGCUCAGUAAGCUGAAACGGUUCCUUACUACCCUGCAGCAGUUUGGCAAUGACAUUUCUCCAGAGAUAGGAGAGAGAGUCCGCACCCUCGUACUAGGACUGGUGAACUCUACUUUGACAAUUGAAGAAUUUCAUUCCAAACUGCAAGAAGCUACUAACUUCCCACUGCGACCUUUUGUCAUCCCAUUUCUGAAGGCCAACCUGCCCCUGCUGCAGCGCGAGCUCCUCCACUGCGCAAGGCUGGCCAAACAGAACCCUGCCCAGUACCUCGCCCAGCAUGAACAGCUGCUUCUGGAUGCCAGCACCACCUCACCUGUUGACUCCUCAGAGCUGCUUCUCGAUGUGAACGAAAACGGGAAGAGGCGAACUCCAGACAGAACCAAAGAAAAUGGCUUUGACAGAGAGCCUUUGCACUCAGAACAUCCAAGCAAGCGACCAUGCACUAUUAGCCCAGGCCAGCGGUACAGUCCAAAUAACGGCUUAUCCUACCAGCCCAAUGGCCUGCCUCACCCCACCCCACCUCCACCUCAGCAUUACCGUUUGGAUGAUAUGGCCAUUGCCCACCACUACAGGGACUCCUAUCGACACCCCAGCCACAGGGACCUCAGGGACAGAAACAGACCUAUGGGGUUGCAUGGCACACGUCAAGAAGAAAUGAUUGAUCACAGACUAACAGACAGAGAAUGGGCAGAGGAAUGGAAACAUCUUGACCAUCUGCUGAACUGCAUCAUGGACAUGGUGGAGAAGACGCGGCGCUCCCUCACGGUGCUGCGGCGCUGCCAGGAGGCCGACCGCGAGGAGCUCAAUUACUGGAUCCGGCGCUACAGCGACGCCGAGGACCUGAAGAAAGGCGGCGGCGGUGGCGGCGGCCACUCCAGACAGCAGAGUCCGGUCAACCCGGACCCGGUUGCACUAGAUGCGCAUCGGGAAUUCCUUCACAGGCCUGCUUCUGGAUACGUGCCAGAGGAGAUCUGGAAGAAAGCUGAGGAGGCGGUCAACGAGGUGAAGCGCCAGGCGAUGACCGAGCUGCAGAAGGCCGUGUCCGAGGCCGAGCGGAAGGCCCACGACAUGAUCACCACCGAGCGCGCCAAGAUGGAGCGCACGGUGGCCGAGGCCAAGCGGCAGGCGGCGGAGGAUGCGCUGGCCGUCAUCAACCAGCAGGAGGAUUCGAGCGAGAGUUGCUGGAACUGCGGCCGCAAAGCUAGCGAGACGUGCAGCGGCUGUAACACGGCCCGGUACUGUGGCUCAUUUUGCCAGCACAAGGACUGGGAGAAGCACCACCACAUCUGCGGCCAGACCCUGCAGGCCCAGCAGCAGGGGGACACGCCCGCUGUCAGCUCCUCCGUCACGCCCAACAGCGGGGCCGGCAGCCCCAUGGACACACCACCAGCAGCCACCCCGAGGUCGACCACCCCGGGGACCCCCUCUACCAUAGAGACAACCCCUCGCUAG
rnacentral:lncRNA from 12 species